GACGAACGCUGGCGGCGUGCUUAACACAUGCAAGUCGAACGGUAAGGCCCUUCGGGGUACACGAGUGGCGAACGGGUGAGUAACACGUGGGUGAUCUGCCCUGCACUUCGGGAUAAGCCUGGGAAACUGGGUCUAAUACCGGAUAGGACCACUGCCUGCAUGGGUGGUGGUGGAAAGCUUUUGCGGUGUGGGAUGGGCCCGCGGCCUAUCAGCUUGUUGGUGGGGUGAUGGCCUACCAAGGCGACGACGGGUAGCCGGCCUGAGAGGGUGACCGGCCACACUGGGACUGAGAUGCGGCCCAGACUCCUACGGGAGGAAGCAGGGGGGAAUGUUGCACAAUGGGCGCAAGCCUGAUGCAGCGACGCCGCGUGAGGGAUGACGGCCUUCGGGUUGUAAACCUCUUUCAGCACCGACGAAGCGCAAGUGACGGUAGGUGCAGAAGAAGGACCGGCCAACUACGUGCAAGCAGCCGCCGUAA
rnacentral:rRNA from 1 species